rnacentral:misc_RNA from 1 species
CUCUCUCUCUCUCUCUCUCUCUCUCAAAUUCUUCUUGCGGUAUAUAUGCACAAAUUUUCAGGUUCAGGGAAAGCAAGAAUUGAAGGAUUGAGGCGAGAUGAAUUAAAAAGAAGAUACAAUAAAGGAAAAGAAAAAAACAGAAAUGGAUUUUUCUACCAUAAUUCUCAUAUCUUGUGUGUCGUCCUUGUGUUGUCGUUAAGCGUUGGGAAUAUUGCAGGUUUCAACCUGUCUACCAUAUCCUUCGAUGAGGGUUAUGCUCCUCUCUUCGGCGAUGGAAAUCUCGUUCGUUCUCCAAAUGGCAGAAGCGUCCGUCUCCUCCUCGACCGCUUCACCGGUUCGGGUUUUAUUUCGUCAAAAAUGUACAAGUAUGGAUUCUUCAGCGCCAACAUCAAAUUGCCCGCAGAUUAUACCGCCGGGAUAUGUGUUGCCUUCUAUACAUCAAACGCGGAUGUAUUUGAGAAGAGACACGAUGAAUUAGACUUCGAGUUCUUGGGAAACAUAGAGGGGAAGCCAUGGAGGUUCCAGACAAACUUGUAUGGAAAUGGUAGCACUAGCCGUGGCAGAGAAGAGAGAUAUCAAUUAUGGUUCGAUCCCUCCAAGGAGUUCCAUAGGUACAGCAUUCUCUGGACCAAGAAGAAUAUCAUAUUUUACAUUGACAAUGUUCCAGUUCGAGAGGUGGUGCGCAAUGAUGCAAUGGGCAGCGAAUACCCAUCAAAGCCAAUGUCCUUAUACGCCACAAUAUGGGAUGCCUCAAAUUGGGCAACCUCAGGAGGCAAGUACAAGGUUAAUUACAAGUAUUCACCAUUUGUGUCCGAAUAUAAAGAUCUAGUCUUAGAGGGCUGCCCUAUCGACCCCAUCCAGCAAAUUCCCAUGGCCUCCACUUGCUCCGAAAGCAAUGCCCGCCUAGACACUGCGGAUUAUACCAUCAUCACUCGCAAGCAACGUCUCGCUAUGCGUAGGUUUCGCCAACGUUACAUGUAUUAUUCAUAUUGCUAUGAUACGUUGAGGUAUCCCGUACCACCGCCGGAAUGCGUUAUUGAUCCAGUUGAGAAGGAGCGAUUUAAAGAUACCGGAAGGUUAAAGUUUGGUGGUAGCCAUCAAAGCCAUAAACGUCGAUCAAGGCGGCGGAGCAAAACUCGUGUUGUUUCUAAUAAUGAUGAUCAUAUUAUGUGAUGCCAUUUUCAUAUUAUGUUAAUUAUAUAUUUGUUUAUAAAUA